UAUUUUAUUUUACAAUAUAAAAUGUGGUUUUAAAAAAAAUUUGAUCUUGGUUUUUAAUUAGAAAAAAAUAGCUUAGUUGGGGUUAUAAAGACUUGGGGAGAGGGCCACUAAGGAACUUUUUACAAAUUUUGAAAAAAAAAUAAAGUAUUUUUUAAUACACAGGUUAAAAAUAUGCCAGCAGCCGCGGUUAUAUGUUUUGUGAUUUUAAUAGCAGUAAUUGUUUAUAAGGAUUUUUAAUAAAGUAUUUGUUAGGUAAAAUUAUUUUAAAUAAGAUGAAAAGUUUAUUUAUAGCUUAGUGUUUUUAAGUAAACCAAGAUUAGAUACCUUGUUAUUUUAAACAUGAUUUUUGAGAAGAAUUUCACUAAAUAAAAUUUAAAAUAUUUGACGGUAAGCAACUUAUCAGAGGGGAUUGUUCAUUAAAAGAAAGUACCCUAUAAAACUUUACUUUAAAAAUUUAUAAGUUUAUAUAUCGUCGUUGUUUGUUAUUUUAGAUUUAUUUAAAACUAUUUCUUGAGAUAAAAUUCAGAUCUAAAUAUAACUUAUUUUAAAGAAUGAAUACUCCACUUUAGUUAGAUUUUUCUGAAUAAGAGAUUAAAUUUUUUUAUUUUAUCGAAUUUGAAAGUAAAAAAAUUUUUUUGAAUAACUAAGUAGCUUGUGUACAUAUCGCCCAUCAUUCUUUUUCAAAAAAGAAAAGUUGUAACAUAGUGAGUAAAUUGGAAAAUUUACUUGAUUUU
rnacentral:rRNA from 1 species